rnacentral:rRNA from 1 species
GCAAGUCUGGUGCCAGCAGCCGCGGUAAUUCCAGCUCCAAUAGCGUAUAUUAAAGUUGUUGCAGUUAAAAAGCUCGUAGUUGAACCUUGGGUCUGGCUGGCCGGUCCGCCUCACCGCGUGUACUGGUCCGGCCGGACCUUUCCUUCUGGGGAAUCGCAUGCCCUUCACUGGGUGUGUCGAGGAUCCAGGACUUUUACUUUGAAAAAAUUAGAGUGUUCAAAGCAGGCCUAUGCUCGAAUACAUUAGCAUGGAAUAAUAGAAUAGGACGUGUGGUUCUAUUUUGUUGGUUUCUAGGACCGCCGUAAUGGUUAAUAGGGAUAGUCGGGGGCAUCAGUAUUCAAUUGUCAGAGGUGAAAUUCUUGGAUUUAUUGAAGACUAACUACUGCGAAAGCAUUUGCCAA